ACGCCAUUUUGUUUCAGCUGAAUGUCCACCUGGGUUUACGCGGGUUGGGUCUGGUUGCUAUAUAAUCUCUAAUGAUCGGGUUGGAUGGAUUGAAGCAAGGAAAAUGUGUGAACAAAAUAAAGCAAGACUUGUCAGUCUUGAGUCUGAGGAUAAAGCAGAUGAGUUGGUUCAGAUGAUCUCGAUACAAUCAAAUUCUAGGAGAUCUAGAAUGGAGUUCUGGAUUGCAGGAAAUGAUAUAGAAGAGGAGGGAGUUUGGGAAUGGGCUAAAUCAAGGUUAU